CAAACAUUCCGCCUGUACUCAUCUGUCUGCAGCCGCGGUAAUUCCAGCUCCACUAGUGUAAAUCGUCAUUGCUGCGGUUAAAAAGCUCGUAGUUGGAUCUGAGUUGCAUGCAAUGAUUCGCCUUUGGCGUUAAUCAUUGUUGUGACUAUUUGCUGGUUUUCUAUUGAAAUUUCGAUUUCUUUAGUGGCUAGCGAGUUUACUUUGAAUAAAUUAAAGUGCUCAGAACAAGCGUUUGCUUGAAUGGUCGAUCAUGGAAUAAUAAAAGAGGACUUCGGUUCUAUUUAUUGGUUCAGGAACUGAAGUAAUGAUUAAGAGGGACAAUUCGGGGGCAUUCGUAUCCCUGCGCGAGAGGUGAAAUUCGUGGACCGCAGGGGGACGCCCUAAAGCGAAAGCAUUUGCCAAGAAUGUCUUCAUUAAUCAAGAACGAAAGUC
rnacentral:rRNA from 1 species